UGUGGUCCAUAAAUGCCUGUGCAAAAUAAAACUUGUUUGGUUUUUGAGAUGCCACAAAUCUCAUUCUUUUCUUUGCUGCAGUAACCCAUCAUGAUCUGGGGGACUCCACUGGAAAUGACUUUCUGUGUGUCACCCUGUGUAUAAAUUGACAAGCUUUCCGAAACUCUGUGCUGACUCAGCAAUGCAUCCAUUUAUUCUCCACUCACAGUAAUUGGUUCAUGCCAAAGAAAAAAUCAUUAACCAUGUGAAGGUACAGAGGGAAGCAGAACAAAUAUCGAUCAGUGUUGUAUCCACUAAACAGUGAGAAUGCUAAUCAGUUCUUAAUUUUACUGCCUAAUUGUCACAAAUUGUUAACAUCACCCUUAAGCACUAUGCAGCCAGAUGUCAACCAUAAAAUCAAUUUGUUUUUAUUUACUGCAUUUUAAAAAAAACAAAGUUUAAAAGAAUAUUUCCAUAGCCACACAGCCUUUCUGAUUUCAAAUUAUGAAACAUUUGAUACCAGAGAAAGCGGUUUUUGUUCUGACCCACUUGAUCCCUCCUACAUGCCACUUUCCCUUACCAAAAUAUAAAACUUAAUUAACUUUAAGGCAGGGGGCAGAAAAUAUUAAUUUUCUUUAGAUUAUAGGUCGUUAAUACAAUAUUGUCUCAUUUACUAUAUACAAAAUAUAGCAACACAGAGAGCUGGGCUGAGCUACUCUUUGCCAGUUUAAUAAACUAUGAUGCAUGAUGCCAGAAACUAAUAUUAAAUCUACAUUCUCCUUCCUCUUGUUUCUUACUGAGCUCAACACUUUCUUCCUUGGACCUUGUUACGUGCCACCAAAAUUGAUGUGAAUCGCUGAGUCCCAGUGGCAGUUGCAUAGGGGACGUGGUGACCUGUCACCCCAUGCACCGUUCCGUUGCGGCUUCCCCCACCUCAUCACUAUUUUCAGUGGCUCAACCCAUCUUUUGACAGCAGUGACACUUCAGUGACAGAACCGCCCUGGAGGUAGUUCUCCGUGACGUGAUGAGAGCCAUCGGGCUCUGUGGCUGAAGGGAAGAAAUACUGUCACCAGUGCUGAAGUCAGAACCGCAUCUCCAUAUACAAACCAGUUUAAGCAUCUACGAAGGAAGCCCUGCUCUUGGUUCCACCCCCAUCUCAAGCACAGCUGGUGGGAAUGAGAGAGGGGGCCUUCUCCGUGAUCACUCCCCACCUCCGGAACUCCCUCCCAAAAGAACUAAAAACAGCGCUAUCUCGCCUCACCUUCAAAAAACGGCUAAAAACCCAUCUAUGCACCCUGAUGUAUGGAGAACAGGAAUACUAAUACCCCUUGAUCUAUAUCCUCACCUAGAUUUGCUAAAUCUUGUCUAGAUGCUAAACCUUGUCUAGAUACUGAAAUGCACUACAGCCUUCUGGUUAUGGCAAAUCACCUCAAGUGUCUUUGGGUUUUAGUCACUAACUUCUAGUUGUUUUACCUAGUGAUAAAUUUAUAUUAUGUGUUUGUUUUUUGGGUUUUUAAGUUUUAUCUUUGCUAUUUUGCUUGUUAUUAUGUUUUAACAUUAGGUCAUUUAUAUAUUGUUUGAUGUGAUCCGCUUUGUUGUAAUUUGUUUGUAUGUUUCUCCUUGCUGGCAUUGAAUGUUUACCAUAUAUGUUGGAAACCGCCCUGAGUCUCUCUGAGGAGAUAGGGCAGUCUACAAAUAAAGUUUUAUUAUAUAUUAUUACUGCAUUGAAUGAAACUGAGAACCAAAAUGUAGGUUCAAUGAUGGCAUUGAAAAUAGCUUUCAAAUACUGUGGUCAAUUUUCACUUCAACAUAGAAACUGCAAGUGUUUGCAAUACUGAGUUGUCAAAACUAAUGCACCCAAUGUCUAUAGGAAAAAAAGAAUUAUAAAUGGGGUUGUAGCAAUAGUUUCUGAAAACCCAGACAGAUCAAGAGGCCAGCAACAAUUUUUUUGCUCACAAUGGAGUAGGAAAAGCUGAGAAGCAAAAAGCAAUUCUUCAGCAAGUAUCAUAAAGAUAUGAUGGAAACCUGCUACUAGCAGCUGGCAUUUCAGAUGUGUUAAUGCCCUGUGGGAAAAAUCAUUGAGUGAGAAGGGGGGUUAUGAAAGUAUGGAAAAUGACAAUGUUUGCAUUACAAUAAAGCUGAAUAAAGAGUCACCUGAGUGAAAUAGGUCACUAGGCAAAGCCAGGAGAAGAUCAUUUUCAAGGGGAUCAAGGCAAUAGGCAAGCAGACAAGAAAAGACCGGGAUGUCCAAAACAUAGUACAAUUCUUCACAUGUUCACUCAAACUGGAGUUGUGAUAUUUUAAGGACUGGCCUUUCUUCUCCAGUUCUCAGGGCGAAAUGGAGAGGGAGGAAUCUCAGGGCAAUAGCAUUGCCUUGAAAAUGUGUGUGUGUGUGUGUGUGUGUGUUCCUUUUUUAUUUGUCAGAGUUUUAAAAAAAUCAUACUUUGUAUAACUGUGGUUGAUGCUUAAUGUACCACACUUAAUAAUAUCAUCAAGAGCUGCCCCUAAUAAAAAAAAUCCUUGUAAUAGCAUUUGGGUCCAUUUCUGGUAACAAGGUUCGGUCUAAGUUUUCAUCUCCUGAAAUCUCAUGGCCUGGUGUAGUUCUGACCUUAAACUGUAGCUCAGAUGUAUGUUUCUGGUACAUAUGGGAUAACACUCCUAGAUAAGGUUCUUGGAAGAUUUUAUUCUUUAUGUAUUUGCUUUGUUUUUAUCCUGCCUUUUUCCCAAUAUGAGAACUCAUGGUGGCUAACAGCAAACAUGACACAAUAUCAUUAAAACAUAUAAAAUGUAUUGAAAUACAAAUAUAAACUUGAAAAACCAAUUAAAUUGUUUGUGUCAUGGAGCAUCACAAUAUUAAAAUACAAUUAAAACUACAUUUAGGAUGAGGGAAAAAAGAAGCAAGGUCCAAAAGAGGAUGAUAAAUGCAGAACUGAAAAUCUCUAUCUCUUUCAUCUUGCAAUGCCUACUGCAGGGAGACUUUGAGGUCCUAAAGCCCAAAGGCAGGCCAAGUUAAAUCUGUUGGUGCUUAAGUAGCAUUGCUCACAGUUUAAACAGUGCCAGGCACUUACCAACAACUCUGUGAGACCAAGGAAUUCUAGGCCCCAAAUGCAAAUCAAUAAAUGUCAAAACCAAACCAAGAAUGUCAGUAUUCUUCCAACACUGAUUCAUAAUCAAGUAAAAUGUGUCUCAGUUCAUUAUAAAAAGUUUCCAGUUAAACUUCCCUGACAAGUAAAGUAAUUUACUUUCGUCCAGGAGUCAUUUCUGAAAUGUAUACUGUAUUUGCAUUCAUGUCUCCAAGAAAUAUUUCUGAAAUGCAGAUUAAAACCAGAGAAUCAUGUUACCUUAUUAACCACAAACAGUAGAUGGAAUAUGCCUUUCAUUGUGCUUCAAAUAAAUAUCUGAAGCCUGCUAGUCUUACCCAGAAAAGUAAAAUUUAGCAUAACCUGAAAUAACGAAAAGAACUGUUAUAAGGAAGAAUACAUUCUAAACAGCAAAAACUAAAUGUAUAACAUGGUUACAGUUAUCCAUACAGAGAGUAUUAGUAUUCUAUGGUUCUGUCUGGCCGACCAUGUUUCUUGAAGUGCCUGCUCAACCACAUUACGUUUUUAUUCCUGUAAUAAAAUGUCACAGUAGAAAUGGAAAGGCUUUAUGCUAUGUAUAAUUCCUUCUCUUUCAGAAUUCAAGACUUACUAAAUCAAACCCACCUUUUCCACCUAUUUAAAAAAUAGUCAAAAAAGAGUGAAUAGCACAAACCACAUCCAACUCCCCCCAGAAAACCACUGUAACUUGCCUUAUACAGAAUGGGAUUUUGGUAUCCACAACUAUACUGUUGGUACUGUUGAUAGGGACUUGCAGUGGCUCUGCAGGGUUUCAGUUAAGAUUCAACCACAUGAAUACAAAGCAUGUGCUAUCAUCCCCCUGCAUUAAAGUUGGAAUAGCGCAAACACUGAAGUCAUGGUAGAAGCAUUGACAAGUAGAAUGAGUGCAAUUCUUCCUGUGGUCCUCUAUCUCCCACGCUAAAUGCUCUUCUCAAACAUGUUGUAAUUGAAAGCAUAUAUUUGUGCUAGCUUUCUUUUGAUUAUACUGGCUGAUAAGCAGACAUCAUUGUAGUAAAGGAAGCAGCUAGGAUCCACUCAGUUUUUGUUGUUGCCCCAACUUUACGGUGACCCUGUGAAUGAGAAACCUCCAGGUCACCCUGCUGUUAACAGCCCUGCUCUGAGGACUUGCAAACUAAAGGCCAUGGCUUCUCUGAUUGAGUUUAUCCACUUGUCAUGCGGCCUUCUUCUUUUCCUAGUGCAUUUCCCAGCAUCAUUAUAUUUUCUAGUGAGUCACAUCUUCCCAUGUUGUAUCCAAAGUGCAAAAGUCUCAGUUUAGUCAUCUUGGUCCCCAAGGAAAGUUCAAGUUUGAUUUACUUAUGUACCCAUCUAUUUGUCUUUUUGGUAGUCCAUAGUAUCUGCAGAACUCUCUUUCAGCAUCACAUUUCAAAUGAGUUUAUUCUCUUCUCUUCAACGUCUAGCUUUUGCAACCAUAAAUAGAAAUCAAAAAUAUGAGGGCACUCAGUUUUUACUUUGUGGGGAAUCAAACAGGGUCAUGCAUGAGUGUUGUUUGUACAUGGGACAUUGUGCUUUCUUUCUGGCAAUUCAGACAAAGCACUUCUCUGAUUUGUUCUCCCUCAUUUCCCAAAUGCAACUGUGCAUUUUUCAUGGUACAAUAAACACAACAAAUUGAAAGAAA